rnacentral:rRNA from 1 species
ACAGAGGUGGCAAGCGUUGUUCGGAAUUACUGGGCGUAAAGGGCGCGUAGGCGGCCUUGUAAGUCCUGUGUGAAAUCCCCCGGCUCAACUGGGGAACUGCACAGGAGACUGCUUGGCUUGAGUUCGGGAGAGGGAAGCGGAAUUCCGGGUGUAGCGGUGAAAUGCGUAGAUAUCGAGAGGAACACCUGCGGCGAAGGCGGCCCCCUGGGCCGAACCUGACGCUGAGGCGCGAAGGCUAGGGGAGCGAACGGGA